rnacentral:rRNA from 1 species
AAAUUGAAGAGUUUGAUCAUGGCUCAGAUUGAACGCUGGCGGCAGGCCUAACACAUGCAAGUCGAACGGUAACAGGAAGAAGCUUGCUUCUUUGCUGACGAGUGGCGGACGGGUGAGUAAUGUCUGGGAAACUGCCUGAUGGAGGGGGAUAACUACUGGAAACGGUAGCUAAUACCGCAUAACGUCGCAAGACCAAAGAGGGGGACCUUCUGGCCUCUUGCCAUCGGAUGUGCCCAGAUGGGAUUAGCUAGUAGGUGGGGUAACGGCUCACCUAGGCGACGAUCCCUAGCUGGUCUGAGAGGAUGACCAGCCACACUGGAACUGAGACACGGUCCAGA